GAUGAACGCUAGCGGCAGGCUUAAUACAUGCAAGUCGUGGGGCAGCAGGUUUGUAGCAAUACAGAUGCUGGCGACCGGCAAACGGGUGCGGAACACGUACAGAACCUUCCUUUGAGCGGGGAAUAGCCCAGAGAAAUUUGGAUUAAUACCCCAUAGUAUAAUGAAGUGGCAUCACUUUAUUAUUAAAGAUUUAUCACUCGAAGAUGGCUGUGCGGCUGAUUAGGUAGUUGGCGGGGUAAAGGCCCACCAAGCCUGCGAUCAGUAACUGGUGUGAGAGCACGACCAGUCACACGGGCACUGAGACACGGGCCCGACUCCUACGGGAGGCAGCAGUAAGGAAUAUUGGUCAAUGGAGGCAACUCUGAACCAGCCAUGCCGCGUGGAGGAUGAAGGUCCUCUGGAUUGUAAACUUCUUUUAUAUGGGACGAAAAAAGGCUUUCUAAGUCGUCUGACGGUACCAUAUGAAUAAGCACCGGCUAACUCCGUGCCAG
rnacentral:rRNA from 1 species